CUAAGCAAGCAAGUAAACAAGAGCUCCAAGGAUGAACUGUGGCCAUUUGUCUUGUCACCUCCUUCAGUUUAGGGAAAGCCUGAGGCAUCACUGACCACUCAAUCCCAGGCCCACACACAUCACCCCUGCAAGUACUACGAGCUCUAAUGACGUGAUGAAGCAGCUAGGAUCCUAAAAUGAGACUUCUGCAUUUAUCACAAGAAUGGAAGGCCAUCUUGCUGACUGAAAUGACAUUACGCAGUGCUACCAAGACUGAAAUGCACUCAGUAUCUGAAAGUGACCAUUUGAGAAUUGGCUGCUGCCUGUCCUCACUGCCUACUGCGUUAAUGUCCUUUUACACUCAGUCCUCAACUUCUUUCUUUUUUGAGAUGGAGUCUCACUCUUGCCCAGGCUGGAGUGCCAAUCUUGGCUCACUGCAGCCUCUGCAUCCUGGGUUCAAGCAAUUCUCCUGCCUCAGCCUCCCAAGCAGCCGGGACUACAGGCGCCCACCUCCAUGCCCAGCUAAUUUCUGUACUUUUACGAGAGACAGGGUUUCACCCUGCUGGCCAGGCUGGUCUCAAACUCCUGACCUCAGGUGAUCUGCCUGCCUUGGCCUCCCAAAGUGCUGGGAUUACAGGUGUGAGCCACCACACCCGGCCUCAACCCUCAACUUCUGAGGCACACUGGAGCUUGUAUAGGAGGCCACGGGCAGGACCACCAUGCCUGAAUCACUGUGUGUUUCCUGGUCCCACCCUAACUGCACUCCAACUACCCUGCUGCAAGCCUCCCCUCUUGCUUGGUUACUGCUUCUGUUCUGCAUCUUGGUCCAGGGCCCCUCUAGUUACUUCUGGCUCCUGACCUUGGGCUCCACAUCUUCAGCCUGCCCAGUAUCAACUCCUCACUUCAGCUAUGAAACUUCCAAUACAGAUCUAGCAAGUACCAGCCCCUUGUCUGGAACCUGGGACUCCGAGUCCCUUCUCCCCUUAAAACACCUCAUCAGCUCAGCCUUGGCCAUGUUCCUGCACUUGGGUGGUCUCUUCCUCAGUGUCCACCGCAACUGGAGUACACAGUGCUGGGGCUCACCCCAGUGAGCCUGGAAGACUGGGUGCUGUGGGAAAUGUCAUCAAUCCAAUGCUAGUGAAAGAUGUGACUGGGGAAUGGUGAAAAAUGCACACCCCUGGGAGGAAUGAGGAAAGAGGACAUCUACUGACUUGUUAUUUUUUUGAGAAGGAGUCUUGCUCUGUUGCCCAGGCUGGAGUGUGGUGGCAUGAUCUCAGCUCACUGCAACCUCUGCCACCUGGAUUCAAGCCAUUCUCGUGCCUUAGCCUCCCAAGUAGCUGGGAUCACAGGCGUGCGCCACCAUGCCUGGCUAAUUUUUGUAUUUUUAGUA
rnacentral:lncRNA from 1 species